UGGUGACACACAGAAAUCUAAGUGACUAAACCUGCAAAGGGAAAAAAAAAGGAGGAAAAGCAGCCCAGGAAAACGAGUUCAGCUAACAAGAUCAGACGAGGAACUUAAAUACAGUAGACAGGAAGCAGAGAGAAGAACAGGAAUGAGAGCUAAAGCUUGCUGGCUGAUUGGAUACUGAUCCUUCCAAAUCAACCAGCUUAGAGUUCAGUUGAGUUAUUGCCCAAGAGAGGGAUUUAUUUCCUGGCUUCACUCUGGCUUUGCAAAGUGAAUGGAUUCUUAACUUACCAAGAGAAAGAGGAGGGGAGGUGAAUCAUGUGGCUUAACAGAGAAGCCAGAAGAUACUAAAGAAAUAUAGAAGGACUUCAAAGUGUACAGAAGUGGAGAAAAGAAUCUGGAAUUGGUCAGUUCUUAUUCUUAUCUUCUUCAAAGAAAAGGGGAUACAGUCCACUGAGCCAAGAAUGGAUUAUUUCCAGAGCUUUACAGAUUUUAUUAAAACUAGAAAAAAAUAACAACAAAAUUCAUCUGGAACAGCAAAAAGUCAAGAAUAUCAAGUGAAUCAAUAGGAAAA
rnacentral:lncRNA from 1 species